rnacentral:pre_miRNA from 1 species
ACAAAGGAAAAAGUGAAGCUGCCAGCGUGAUCUAGCUUUGGUUAGAGAGCUGAGUUGAAUUAUUCAUGUGAGUAGUGUGUGUUGCUAUUUAACCCUAACUAGGUCAUGCUGUGACAGCUUCACUCCUUCCUAUU